AGCCUGUUAUACAUAACCUACCCCGCAAACGAUCAAAUUGUUUGUCAAAUUUUACGUGUUUGUCUAACAGUUUGAUAGUGUACAGCUUUGUUUGAAGCGUUUGUCAAACAAACUACGUGUUUGACCUAUUUGAAGAAAAUUUACACUGGCGUAGAGUUUAACAAACGUGUUUGAACGUGUUCCGC